GAUGAACGCUGGCGGCGUGCUUAACACAUGCAAGUCGAGCGGUGGAAGCAGAACUUGGUCUUCUUGAUCUGUGCCGCACAGGUGAGUGACACACGUGCAUUAUCCACCUAUCAGUCUGGUAUGCCUUCGAAAAGGCGUCUAUUAUUGGAUACGAGCUUCGAAAGCAUCUUCUUCAAAUGGGAAGGAUGGUCUUCCUGUCAGUGCUAGCUGGAUCUGCGCUUCAUGAGCUAGUUGUUAAGCUAACGGCUUACCAAGGCAACGAUGCCUAGCCGACCUGAGAGGGUGGUCGCCCACACGGGAACUGAGACGCGGACCAGACGCCUACGGGAGGCAGCAGUAGCGAAUCUUCGGCAGUGGGCGAAAGCCUGACGGAGCAACGCCGCGUGAGUGAUGGAGGUCUUGGGAUCGUAAAGCUCUGUUAUUAGGGAAGAACAUAUGUGUGAGUAACUGUGCACAUCUUGACGGUACCUAAUCAGAAAGCCACGGCUAACUACGUG
rnacentral:rRNA from 1 species